GGCGGAGAGACCGGCUCAGGACGUGCGUGGACCAAGCGAGGCAGCCGAGAGCGCUGUCCGGAGACUCGGCGGGCCCGGAGAAUCCCCGAAGGAGGCGAUGAAUUGCCUCGCCCGGCGGCAGGAAGAGAUUCUGGCUCCUGUCAUUGGUGCGGGGCUAACUGCAGCUGCAACUCUUUGGCCCAACCUUGGCCCCUCACUGGCUUCACUAAGUGGCCUGCAUGCCAUUUAGCCAUCCUGAAAGUAGCACCCAAAGACACAGCCAGCCUGCUGGGAGGCAGAUGGGAGGCUCCUCUAGAGCUGGAGAAGAACAGCUGGGAUGAGAACAGCGCCUCUCCUUCUGAUUCCUCCACCCACCUCAGCAGCAAGGAAGGGGAAAAGCCAUUCUGAGGCCUGCAGGAGCUUGCUCUGAAGCACUUGCGUGGGAGGCCGGUACUUAAGUUGGGCCAAGGACCAGUGGAGGGUCUGCUUGGAGCCGCUUGUCCUGCUGCCCAGCCGAUGCCUUUCUGGUGCUGCCAGAUUGUGAAGCCUGGGGAUUGGCACCUUCCAUGCCCAUCCAGCAGACCAUGCAAAGCCCUCCGGCAGGCAUUCUUCCGCUGGGUUGCACGCCUGGUGGUGCAAAUGCCAGAGCUGCCUUUCCUGAGAGGACCAUGGCCCACUGAGCCCCGAGCCGCCUGCCAGCGGGGCAAUUCUCUUGUGAGCACCUCUUCCAGUUGUGCCUCAGAUUACCCAUUUGCUGGUGCACCUCCCUGCUGACAGAAUGGGCUACAAGAAGAAACAGGAGGAAGAGCCUCAAGAGAAGUGAGGAUCAGAUGAAAAAAACUGUGUGCAAAGCAGAAAUGAAAUUUGAGGAAGGGUCUCAGGCCUAAUGACUUUCUUCCCUUUCAGGAAGAUGAAGAGAGGGAGGUGGGUUCAGCCUUGCAAGUUUCUGUUGCCCUAACUUUGUAAUAAAAGUAAUAUCCUAAAUACA